UUAAAGACAUGUUUGAUUUAUGAUCUGUUAUCAAGAAGGAGAGCUGUCAGUCAUAAAAUCAUAAAGUCACAGAUCUACUAUAAAGACCUCCAGAGCACUGAAGCAUGCAGUUCAAUGCAAACUGCGGCUCGUCCCGCUCUCACAGUGCUGCUGCCCUCCAGAGACGAGCUGCAGCAGGGGAAGGCUACAGUGCUGUGUGUGGCCAGUAAGGGAUACCCCUCUGACUGGAAGCUGAGCUGGAAGGUGGACUGCAGCAGCAGGAGCUCUGGUGUGGAUCUGAGUCCCAGUCAGCUGCAGAAGGAUGGACUGUACAGCUGGAGCAGCAGCCUGAGCCUCACUGAGAGCUGGACUCCACUGAUGGUCAGAGUAAAAUCUGUGUCCCUUCCACUGCCACUGAAUCUAGAAGAAACACCUGAAGCUCUGUCUGAUAUGUAAUAGUUCAUGAGUUUAGGAGCUUAUCCAGGAAUAAGAUAAUACCAGUCCAUGCUGUAUUGAGAGGUAUCUUUUUAAAAAUUGUUAACUUUUGGUGAUCC